UCGUCCCAUGAUCAUGCCAGGUGACAGGGAGAGUGAGCGGUGGGUUUUAUCGUCUUGUGCUUCAAUUUUUUGGGACGACGCCGCACCCUCAGCUCUUCCUGUCCAUUCCCUUCUGCUCAGAGUCCACAAAACAGAGCCAUCCCUAAGGUUCGUUGGUGGCCGAGGCCAGCAGGAGCCCGACGACGGCGAGGAUCAAGGGGGUCAGGAGCGCGCACCCGGCGACAACUACCACUACACGGUGAGCUGGCACCACAAUACAUCUGAGCGGGUCGCGCGCCAACGGGAGAACGGGGAGGGAGAAGGAGGUGGGGAUGUCUGCCGGUGACAAGGGGGGCGUGAACGACGACGGCUCAGUGGACCACUACAUCAAUUGGGAGAGAAGACGACACGUGCUAGCAUCCAGUACAACAGGGGGAGGGGGAGGCAAGAACAUGGCGCCAAGGCAGAAUUUGUGCUGCUAGAUACAAGUCAAGCUUUUGAAAGCAUUCAUGGUACAGGGAGGCAUUUCUUUUGCAACUAGUAUAAAAGGGAUUUUUUCACGAUUUUAACCCAUGGGAUGAAAGUAUUGCACGGAAUGAACUCUGAUUGAAACCAUUUCACGA